UGGGGAAUAUUGGACAAUGGGGGCAACCCUGAUCCAGCAAUGCCGCGUGUGUGAAGAAGGUCUUCGGAUUGUAAAGCACUUUCGACGGGGACGAUGAUGACGGUACCCGUAGAAGAAGCCCCGGCUAACUUCGUGCCAGCAGCCGCGGUAAUACGAAGGGGGCUAGCGUUGCUCGGAAUGACUGGGCGUAAAGGGCGUGUAGGCGGUUUACACAGUCAGAUGUGAAAUCCCCGGGCUUAACCUGGGAGCUGCAUUUGAUACGUGUAGACUAGAGUGUGAGAGAGGGUUGUGGAAUUCCCAGUGUAGAGGUGAAAUUCGUAGAUAUUGGGAAGAACACCGGUGGCGAAGGCGGCAACCUGGCUCAUGACUGACGCUGAGGCGCGAAAGCGUGGGGAGCAAACAGGAUUAGAUACCCUGGUAGUCCACGCUGUAAACGAUGUGUGCUAGAUGUUGGGUAACUUUGUUAUUCAGUGUCGCAGUUAACGCGUUAAGCACACCGCCUGGGGGAGUACGGCCGCAAG
rnacentral:rRNA from 1 species